rnacentral:rRNA from 1 species
UACGUAGGUGGCAAGCGUUGUCCGGAAUUAUUGGGCGUAAAGCGCACGUAGGCGGUUUGUUAUGUCGGAUGUGAAAGCCCUUGGCUCAACUGAGGAAGUGCAUCCGAAACUGGCAAGCUAGAGUAUGUAAGAGGGUCGCGGAAUUCCCGGUGUAGAGGUGAAAUUCGUAGAUAUCGGGAGGAACACCGGUGGCGAAGGCGGCGACCUGGGACAAUACUGACGCUGAGGUGCGAAAGCGUGGGGAGCAAACAGG